ACGGCUAAGCUAAAUGGCUGUGAAUUGGCUUAAUCUCAGCUGGCAACUGUGAGCAGUUAAUAAAUUAUCUCACAGUGGUCUCUGGGAUUAUACUAAACACAGCAAUUCUCUUGCUUUAUGGA
rnacentral:pre_miRNA from 14 species